rnacentral:lncRNA from 10 species
CAGAGGCCAUUCUGCUCCAGAGUGGGGCAUAGCCUCGGGCGAGGUUCACAGCUUGGGGGGCUGGUCCUGCCCUGUCCCACAUGUGGCUGUGUGGGCAGCAUGGAUCUUCUUCCGCGGUGACCCUGUGUGCCCACCCCCCCCAACUUAUGCCUGCUUCCCAAGGCCAUGGGCCUCACCCUCAGACUUCACUUUUGUGUAUAUGGAAAGACACAAUUAUCGGGACAGAAACAGAUCAGUGUUUGCCAGUGGGACUGGACCUCACUGUGGGAACAACAAGAUCAACAAGAGGAGCAAGAACAACAUCAAGAGUUGGGGCCUGGGGGUCCUGACGGGUACAGGAUGGGUACAGACCCACACAGGAAUCCCAGAGUGUGUUCCACAGCAGGACACGCCUGCGCUGAAAGAGUGGGCAGAAAGGAGCUGACCUGGGAUUAUGAUCCAAACUCAGCUGGGCCUCCCCUCCCUGCCCCAG